AAGUCGGCAAGCCGCAAGCGGCAAGGGAAGGAACGGUUCAAGAAAAGACAUAAUUUGACGAGCGCCCAGUUGUUUUAGGAGAUCGUACUUGUGAAGUAACCUUAUUCAUGAUUCCAUGCAUGUUUUUGUGUCACGAUAUAACCCUCGUUUUGACCAGUAAGAGUUCGUUACAUGACUGGAAUGACGAGUUUGAUGUUCAUUGUUCUGGUCAGAGGCCUCAUAUUGUGCUCAAAAUGUCACUCCGGACCAUUAUUCUUUAGCGAGAGAGCAAUUAAAUGUGAGUGAAACUCGGGUUAGCUGGUUUUUAUACAUAUAGUGCGGAAAUUGCUUGCAGCUGGCAUCGAUGUUCCCAAAACGACAAAAGCUGAGAAAAUCCAAAGGGAUGCAGUAUUUCAGUAUCAAUACUAAUACACAGAUUGCAACAGCUAUAAUCUGCAGUACUGUUUGGGAGACCCUCAGAAGAUAAACAGCUUGUUGUCAACAUUAAAUUUAUUAUCAAUACAUGAAAGAAUUUUGAAGGUGUUCUAUGCUGAAAAAUCAAAGAACUACAGGUAUUUGUGUGUGCUGAUUGGUAAGGUUUUAUGAAGAGGAGUCUGGCAGAGACCAUGACAUUUUCUCAUCUAAAGCUGAUCUAUAGCUAUUACAGGGAUGGUGAAAAUAAAUUAAUUUAUGUUUUCUCCCAAAACCAGUGAUGGCAAACCUAGAGUGACUGGAACAUUUAAAGUUCUAAAAGUUGUAUGAAUUUUUUGCUGCCACAUGUAUUUAUCAAUUGUACCUAAACAAGUUGGUCUGUAUUAUGGAUCAUCUACUAGUAUCACACAUACCUAAUGAGAUUACUGUCCAAGUCCUUAUAGUAUCUACAUUUAUAUCACAAGUACUAUUUAUUGUGUCAUUAAAUCUUGAAAUUCAUUUUCAAAGUCUGUAUUGAAUGUUUAUCACUCUGCUUUGAUACAAUUUACUGUCGCUAUCAAUUUUUAACCUCAGCAUUUCAGUGAAAAAAAUUUAUUCUUUUGUGUACAUUUUAAAAUUCUAGACAUAAUUAUAAAUUCACAUUAUUUGCAGAAUUUCAAACCAUUUUCAUUUAUAUACAUCAAUUUUGUACAUUAAGUUACUGUAAAUGUAUUAUAUUUAGCGUGUAUGAUAUUUGGCGGAAAUUGAUUUUUGAACAAGUUAGCAUAGAUAUGAUUUAGCGGAUAACUUAAUGUUCUUAUUAAUGUGUAUAUUUGCAAAAUAUUUAGCAUUGUACUUGAAUUAGCGGAAGUUUCCACAGAAAGCACUAAAAAGAAUACACAGCCAAAUGUAAUAUAUUUACAGUAUGAUAUUCAUUAUUUUUUACUUGAAAAAAAGUAUAAAAAGGGGGAGUUGAAAUAAUUUAAGGGAAAAAUUUGAAUUUUCUAAUGAAUUUAUAAAUAUUUCUCUUUAGAAAUGUUAAUGUUCCAUGGUAACAGCAUGUUGCAAAUGACAUUAUGAACAUAUUUUAUAUCUUUAUAUUUUAUAUUUACAAAAUGACCGUUUUGUCACCUGUUAAAUUAUUUUUCU